CGAAGAAGUAGAAAGGCUGUUUCCGAUAGACCUCCGGCUCAAGAUAAAGAAUAGGCAACAAGGUGAUGGAUUACAUAACAAAAAAGGCGUAAGGAAUAAUAAAAAGUAAAUCAGAGCAAUAAGAAAAUGCGAGAGAUACGGCAACACGAAAUAAGCAGAUAGUGACUGAGAAAAUAUGAAAGGGACACCCACGUAUAAGUAACACAUACUCGCCGCCAUAGACACCUAUAGACACAGACCUAAGGUUACUAACCCGGCUACACAAGAUCUCUCCUGGUGGCUUGCUACAACCCACACCCUCCUGCUAGCCUUCUACCCUUAUCCGCGACCUCUACACCUUCCUAUCUAGGGUCAUGUCCUCAAGAGGUAAUACUUGACAGUUGGAAAACUGAUGUAGAGAGAGAGAUCUCAUAUAAAAUCGGUGUUUCACAUAUGUCGGUGUCUCAUGUGCAAAAGUUUGGGUGAUAAUGUGGAUCUUCUUUUACAUUGCAAGGUAGACUUACACUUGUCGUGAGAAAUCCUGAGAUAGUUUGGUCUUCAGUUGUUGAAUCCAUGCAUGGUAGAGGAAGCUAUAUGUAGUCUGGAGCGUGGGAUGUGGCUCAUCUAGCACUUAUGUGGACCGUUUAGAGGGAGAGAAAUAGGAUAACUUUUGAAGGAGUAUAAUUUUUUUUUGUCCAAUUGAGGGGCAUCCUCUUAUCCUUUUUGUAGAAAAUGGUGUGAAUUGUGAAGGAAUUUUUUUCCCCAUACCUACAGUAUUCCUAUUUGUAUAGAGGAAUAUCUUUGGUAAGGUUUUUUAUUCUAUGGUUCAUUUGUUGUAUACAUUUUUUUGUGUGUGUCCUUCACUAAUAAAUUUUUCGUUACGUCAUAAGAAGACCACAUACAGUAGAAGGAAGUAUCACUUUGAUGCGAAGGAUAUGAAUAGAUGGUCAAUGAAGUGGAAGAAGAACCCUGAAAAUUCAGGUUCAAAUUCCAGCAAAGGCAGAAAAAGCUAGUUGAUAUCUUCCAAUCUGCCUAAAUCCUGGUGGGUAGAGUUCUCCCGGUUCCUGCACUGGUGAGAGUUAGUAGGUAUCUGGUGGAAUGGCCUACGCGUAUGCAGGUAAGAUCAACACCUACCAUCAGAAAAGGUCACUUUGAUGGAGUAAAUGCCCCGUAAGUAGGAUCAUCCUAAAAAAACAAUUAACCAAGCAAAUUGCCUACCACCAAGCCUCAGGACCCGCGAGUUUGUAUUGAUCAUGGACUUCAUUUUUCUUCUUGGUGGUUGUUGUUCGUUAAGGUGGAGAUGGCAGCGCGGAGAUCUUGUGAUACAUUAUAAGUGAUACCUUGGGCCUCAUAGUUCUUCAAUGUUACAGAUAAGUAUUUCGACUUUUGUCUAGAUCUAGUUGGUGGCUGAGAACCCAAAUGGAAAUAAUGAUGGCGACGCAUAAAUUUCGAUCUUGUCUUUCACAUGUAAAGUUUUUGUAUGUUGUUUCUGGUGUUAACUCUUGGCAAAAAGUAUAGCCGAUGAUGUUCGAUUAAUUUAGCAUGGAUCAUGACACAGUUGGAUAAGUCAGCGUGGAUCAUAUUUCUGGAAGGAGGGGGUGGGUCUUCUUGUAUAUUUUGGUACUGCGAUCAUAUUAAAUCUCAACAGGAUAUUUGGAUUGGAUUAAGGGUUUUAUUAUUGGAGUGUAAGCAGAUUGCACUGAAUUCAAUGGCACAGAUAUGCAUUGGCGCCUCGGUGAAUUUAUAUGUAAUAUAGAGAUGCUUAUGUAGUUUUCAGCUGCUAAUAACAGUGGAUAGCAGUUGGUUAUUUGUUUCAUCCCAAUUGUGCUCACGGUAAGAAAUGAAUAUGGGAUCAAAAUCAAAUGGUUGAAAGGGAGAAGUGGAGAAAGUGCUACUAGGGUGUUUUGUGAUAGAAGGAUGCCUUCUAAAGUGAGACUAUAAUUCAAUUGUAAGACCGGUCAAUGUUAACUGAAAGUCAAUGUUGAGCUGCUGAAAUUCGACACAUUGCGAUAUGAGUGUCGUAGAUAUACGGAUGUUGAAUGGACACCAUAUUAGAUUUAACAAGAUUAAAAUUGUAUGUUCACUUGAAGGUGCAAGUAGCAUAAUGGACAUAAGGAUAAAAUGAGAGAACGAUCACUUGAGUUGGUUUGGUCAUCUCUUGGGUUCGAUGCAGACUUAGAGAAAAGUAGGACAUAAUAACAGAAAAUAUUUAUAUGGGCAAUAACAAUUAAUUGGGACUGUGUUAGUAUGUUUACUUUAGGUCCUAUGCUUUCUAGUAGUCUUUUAGCUUUUGGAAUUCUAUGCUAAUAGAAAAUAUAGAAUGUUUCUUGUACUCUAUAUUUUAUUUUUAUUCUACAUAAUGUUGGCCUGAAAUGAAUUUAACAGGAGAAUCAUUGUCAGUAUUGACUUAUGUAGCUGACCCCAACUUGUCUGGGAUUGAGGCGUAACUAUAGUAUUGUUUUAUUGUAAUUUAUUGGUGUAAGAAACUAAAAUUAGUCAAGGAUAUUUGAUUUAACAAAGGCUACCCUACAUGUGCUUCUCAAGAAUUUCAAAAAGAGGCUCGGUGCCCGUCUUCAGGCUGCAAGCACCUAACAUGAAAUAGAACAGAGUUGCCAUGAAAAGAAACAUGUAGAUACAGCUAAUGAACGUGAGAAACUAUACACUUCUGUUUUGGGAUUGUAUUGUAUUAAGUAUCAACCAUUUAUCCAAAUAUAGGGGUAAAUGUUUGUGAUUCAUAUUUUCUUUUGACUUAUUGAUCUUCCAUGUGAUCGUCAUUGUAGCUAAUAUAAGCAUGGGAAUAACUAAAUAAAAUUUAAUCAUCACCUUUUGGUUUGGGAAGUACUGAAGAUAGCAAACAGUUUCAUUUAAUCUGUAUAAUCCAAAGUUUAAAUGGGUAUAUUCUAUCCUUGUGUGGAGUCCAACUUGUCUUUCUUCUGAUUUGCCUCCAUCUUUGAUGGUAUUUUUAGCCCUCCUCCCCCCUCCCUCUUGCUCUUGUUUUUUUAAAUUUAGGUUGCAUGUUCUGCAGUUGUAUCUUUGUUAUCAGUAAAAUAGAAGGGAGUUCUGAGGAUAUUUACUUUCCCUUUUCUAGUUGUAUGGGUAAAUGUGAAUACCAUUUGGGCUGAAGGGCUCUGGGCAUAGGCAGAGGAUGGUGAACAGAAGAGGACUAGAAAGAUGAGAAUUUGAGUUGAUGGGUGAUGAUGGGGUCUGGGUAGAAGCAUUAGGUUUGUUAGUCACUGUAGGUUUAAAUGUUUUUCCAGCUUGGAUAAACUAUGAUUAACAACAACAACAAACCCAGUGUAUUCCUACAUAGUGGGAUCUUGGGAGGGUAAAAUGUACGCAGUCCAUACCGCUACUACCUUCGGAGAAGCAGAAAGGUUGUUUCCUAUAGACCCCCGGCUCAAGACAAAGAAUAGUAAACAAAUUCGUAAUAAAGCAUGAAACAAGAUGGAAUAAUAGAAAUAAUACACCCACAAAGUAAUACUUUGCACUAACGAACCAAAGGCACCCUCACCCCAAUACCCUCCUACUAGCAACUCCAACCUAUGGACAUAUCCCUAAGACUACCAGCGCAGCUACCCCAAAGCUCUCCUUACUACUGGCUAUGAUCCACCCACAUGCACUAGCAACCUAAUUCGUGUCCUCUAUACCUUCCUAGAUCAGUAAGCUGUGACUGCUCUAUUUCAUAUCUAAUCACUUCUCUCCAGUAUUUCUUCGGCCUACCCCUACCCCGCUUGAAACUAUCCAAAGAUAGCCUCACCUACGAACUGGGGCAUCCGUGCCCCUCCUCAUCUCAUGCCCAAACCAUCUCAACCUAACUUCCUGCAUGUUGUCCUCCAUCGAAGCCACUCCCACCUUCUCCCAGAUAAACUAUGAUUAAAUCAAGAAUAACUGGCCUAGUCCCCAUAAUUUUUUGAUUGGGUAAAUUGAGAUUUCAUUAGACAUUAAUAAAUGCAUCCUGUAGAUGCAUGAAUUCAGAAGCUGCAGCAAAAAAGAGUUGGCUUCUGAUCAGUGCGACCUACUAAAUGCUUACCGAGGAGCUAACAAAAUAGAAAUUACUAAGCAGAAUUUUUUAUUCGACAAUUGACUAACUGAACAAAAUUAUUUAUAGUAUGUUGAUUACUUCUGCAAGAAAAUGUUCGUGAGAUACUUAUAUUUAGGAAGGUGGCUAGGAGAUGUAACUGGACCUACACCCGCAUCUUGGAUUUAGAAGCCAGUAAUUAUGUAAUAACAUGAAAUGGUAGGUAAGAUCCAGUGUUCAGGAAUGCGAUGAUGCACAGCAAUGCGAGCCUCUCUUGCUGCAUGUGGCUGAUGCAAGCCAACCUUAUAGUAGUGGCCUCAUCACAGGGUUAUGCGAGAUGCGAGUUGAUGCGAGCUUAUCAUGUUGAUUUUAUUUUUAGGUCAAUUUUAAUUUUAAGUUGAGAAAAGAGUCACUUUAGGUUGAUUUUAUAUUUAGGGUCAAUUUUAAAUUAAAAAAACAGUCCACUGCUGCGAUUUUCUAGGGUUAGCUUUGAAGUCCACUGCUGCGACUUCAUCUUCUUCUUGAUGAAGUAGACGAGCUUUAGAAGAACAAGAAUUAGAUGUUGAAACAUCAUUAAUUUAGAUUUGUUUUUUCUUUUUUUUCCCUGGUUUGUUUUGCUAUUUUGUUGAAUUGUUUUGUUAUUGUGGUCUGUAUUGGUCUGUUUCGCAGCAGGUGUUUCGGUGAUCAAACCUAUGAUUUUGGUGUUUAAUUUAAACUUCUGCUUAUACAUAUUGUCUUCAUUGUUGAUUCUGUAAUUGUUGUGGUCUUUUCAGUUCUCUUUACUGUUUGGAUGUUUUGUUUAGUCUUUUUCUUUUAAAUGGCGCUUCACUUAAGUGAUGUGCUCGCAUCGCUUCGCGUAAUGCUUGAUGCGGAACCUUGUCACUUUUUUCUUCCCUUGAUUUGUUUCUUCCCUUGAUUUGUGCAAUGCUGAUCUUUUCUAAACAUGGUAAGAACUUCUAGCAUUGAUAUAUCUCAAUAAAAGUCAAAAGAUUGAAAUAUAUUUUUGUCUUUAAUUUUAUUUAGCUCCUUUUAGCUAGAAAUAGUGUGUAGAGAAUCUUUUUUUGAUUGUUUAUAAGGUGGAGAUAAUCUUUUCUUGUAAUUUGUGAUGAGGUUUUGUCUGUUAGUCAGAAGUUACCAUAUCAUUUUGUUAGAGAAGGUUUUACGUAGUCUUAUCUUUUUUGUUGGUUAUAGAGUUCUAGUACUGUGACUCCUAACUAGUUUAGAACUUUACAUUCCAUAAAAUUGGACCCAUUGUGUUGUCUAUUUUGAAGACUCCGGUACACAUGGUCUUAUUUUUAUAUGGUAGGGCCCUACCCUCGAACCCCUUAAGCUGGCCCAGCCGUUGGUUUUGUCCACUUUGUCCCCCAACCUUAUGGUUGGAGGUAAAGAGUCCUUUCCGCUAGGCUAUACCUCCUUUGUCUUGAAUAACACGCAACUUUUGAAUGAUACCUUAUAACUUUCUCUUUCUUUCUUCUGUCUUAUUUCUUUUUGUUCUCUCUUGUUUAUUUUGUUCUCUCCAUUCUUUUGCAUUCCUCCCUUCUUCACUAAAUCAGUUUAAUAUCAAAGCUCAAACCAAUUCACUGUUCUGUUACACCCAUUACCCGUAAAACUCAUAUUCUAGUACCAGAAAUGAUCCAAUUUACAGUUCUCAACUGACAUCCUGUUAAACUCCUCAUAUUCUAGUACCAGAAAUGAUUUUUACAGCUCCCAACUGACAUCCUGUCAUCAUUUAAGUAGAAAGAAGCUAUAGUAAGGAGGCUUGAUAACAAUAAACAAUACUAGUAAGGAAGUUUGAUUCCUCAUUCUUUCGAUCUCUCUUGGAAGUUGGAGAGCGUAACUACAUUGCAUGAGACAACGCUAUAAAUUUUUGAAAUUGAACAUUUUUGGGAAAUGGAAGACAUCACCUAUAAAUGGAAACUCAAUUACUCUAAGUUGGCGGUUCAGAACUUCAUCUUCAAUGGGAGUAUCAUUGCUUGAUGCUACGGGGACCAGGAGGAUCAGUUUGAUUCCAUUUUCAAAUCCUUUAUAGCUGGACUAGCAGUCUUAGUUGUUUAGGCUAGUAUGCUCCAGCUGAGAGUGAAUUAUCUGUCUAAAUAGACAAAUGCAAUGUUCUUUUAUAGGGUAAAUUAGUUUAUUACUUUGGAAAACCGUGCAUAUAAGUUGUAACCCAAAAAGCAGAGAACCUUAACACACACAAAAAAAGUAAAUCCAGUGUUAUUAUGUUAUAAUAUCUUUUUAAUAUUUUUUAAAAAUAUUCUUUUUAGUUUAAAAAAAUCAGAGAUGAUCUUACCCGUUUUUUGAAAAAAUCCAAGGUGGGCCUAAGAAAAAUCAAAUGUCUAUUCAAAUUUGAGACAACAAAGGAAAAAUAAAGAUAGAAGAGAAAGUUAAAAAGGGAAAAUGAUCUUUAUCUGUUUAGUCAUAAUAAGGUUUUAUUUGUUAGUUUGAGAUGAUUAUGUCUUCUAGUUUGAGAUAUUGUUUUAUCUGAUAUUUUCAUUUUUUUUGACAUAUAGUUCUCCUAGUUUUUAAGACUUUUAACUUGUUUGGAAUUUACUAUCUUAUAAAUAAAACCAUUAUGUACUUUGUUUAGAAAACUUGAAUAACACUCGACAUGAAAAUGAAGAAUAACCUUACAAAUUUAUCUCUUGAAUGCUCUUCUCAUGCCCUAUAUUAUCAUACUGGCGUUGUUUUCUACAGCUCAACUUAUACUCCUGCGAUUCUUUUUGUCAUCCUUUACUUUGGUCCUCCUAAAUGCCAUCUUUUGCCUGCUGUCAUGUUUCAUAUUAGGCAGCAUGUCUCAUACUAGGUGAACUGAUUGUGAUGUGGUUGUUAGACUUUACAUGAAAGAAUAAAUUGGAGGUGUUGUUUUGUUUUGAGAUGACUCUGUGGAAUAGCUAGAAAGCUUAGAUGUUGCAGCACUUCAGUUCCAAUAAUUUCUAUAGCUUGAAUUUUAUGUGUAAGCUUGAUAUCAGCUCAAACAUGGGAAGAGGGGUGGACUGAGAUGUUAAUGUGGUUGUUAGUCUUGUGGUUAGAUGAACUUCUCCACCGUAGGAGGUUAAUUGGACCUUGCACAAUUUUGGGAGACCUGGAGACAGACAUUGCAAAAAGCUAGUGAUUAGAGAAACAUGGUUUAUUAUUAAAAAUUUUGUUUUUGUGAAGCAAAUGAGGGUAGGUAUUUGGAGAAUGACACUUGUUGAGAUUGUAAUUGGAUGGAUAAUUUUGAUAUAGGAGAAACUCGACUCUACACCUUCAAAAGCUCUUCGUAUUUCUCUCUCCACACCACCCAUAUUUACACAAGCAAAAUCAGGUUCCAAGCCCUUCGUCUCCUCCUCCUCCUCUCAUUCUUUCAGUUGAACAUCAAUUUUUUCACCGUUUUCGGCACUGUCCAAGGAGUGCCACCUAAGCAAGUCGCACUAUAGUCUCAUGUGAAGUAAAAUACGAUCCACGUCCUCACUUGCCUCCUCACGCAUGUAACACCAACUCAACUUUCCCUUUUCUAAGGUUUUUCCCCAUCAAGAUCACCCCUCUAAUGGCUAACCAAGUGAAGAAACACACUUUCCUCGGCACCCUUGGAACCCAUAUUGCAUUACAUUACAUGGGAAUUCAACCUCCUCCCUAACUAAUAGUUCCUCAUAAAAAGUCAUGUUUAACACUCAAUUGUUUCCCAAGCCCCACUACCAAAUGUCUGGAUUAUCCACUAGAUUGAAUUGCCUACGCAACUCACUUUCUAAUCUUGAAAAUUCCUUCUAAAUCUCAAGUCCCAAAAAGUCUCCACAUUUCCCCCUAGUUUUGUUGAAUUUUACCAUCUCUUUGACAAGAUAUUCUGUACAAGUUUUGAAAUUCAUUUUCAAUAGCAUAUUCCCACACCAACUAUGUUCCCAAAAAAUAAACAUUCCUCCAUCUUCGACUUCGAGUGCGGUACUUUUCACCAAUACACCUAUCUCCUCGUAGUAUUCCUCCACAAUACACCUAAAAGGCAGAAUGGCAUGUCUAGUUUUCCAACUCCCCCAUCCCCCCAUCCCGUAUUUAUCAACUAUCACUCCCUUCCACAAAGCGUAUAUAACCCCAAACCUCCAUAACCAUUUGCUUAAUAAAGCCUUAUUAGAGACUUCUAAAUUUUUAAUUCCAAGGCCUUCUCAUUUCUUAGGAGAUUUGAUAGCUCCUACCGCACCAAGUGAAACUUUCUUGCCCUAUCCGCACAUUCCAAAGAAAAUCUCUGAAACUUCUCCAACUUCAGUGACCAUAGUUGGAGCUUGAAAUAAAGACAUAUAGUUAGUGGGGAUGGUCGAUAAUAUGCUCUUGAUAAAUUGUUAGUGAUUUCGGAUAGAUUGUUCAUAGUAUUACUCCGUGGGUGUCUUGUUUCUUUUUAUCUAGUGGUGGGUUACCCUUUCAGACAACUCACAAAACCCUUUCAGCUCUUUGCCCAAAUAUCUCCUCAAAUCCCUCAAAUUCCUCAAAUCCAUCGACUCCAUUGAAGAUCUUUGUCCAAAUAUCACUUUCGAGAAUCUUGUUUCUCGUUUCGGAAUGCAAAUCAUGAAUUUCCUGAAGCACAUCAACUUCUCGCCAAAACUAUCUCGCUUAAGAACUGUCUGAAGUAGGGUUUUUAUAUCGCCUCAGGAAUUUUUUGCUUUGUGAAUUUCUUCUUAGGUAGGUUCAGUAAUUUUGUCAGUUUUAUAUGAAAAUUUUUUUAGGUUCCACCCGUUAUCGAAAGUAAAAAAAAUUGGUAGUUUUAAUCAUUAAGAGAUUUAUCUCCUUAUGACUACUUCAACAAGUUCAGAUAUAGAGAAAUUUGUUAAUGAUAAAUUGUUAUGGAAGUCUUUUAGGUGCGACACCUUUGGAGAAACAUUAAAAGGCAUGUUUCUGUCUUUUAUUGCUCGAGACUAUUGGUUCCUUGAGAUUUUAGUCUUAUGUACUGGUUUGAGUGCAAGAAGCAUGAAAUUGGACUUGAACUCCAAUUCAGGUACUAGUACUUCCAUAAAGCUCUGAGAAGUGGAAAAUUUCUAAUUUAGAGGUGAACUUAUGGGUACAUAAUUUUUCAUGCUUCCUGAUUCUUAUCUGCAGUUUGGUUGAUCUCCGUUCAUCAAUGGAUAUGAAUAUGUUUUUCUAACACUAUUAUAUUCAGAUUCUGGGAUUAGAAUGGGAAAAAGAGCUUUUGGAAACUAUCAGUGCUAAUCACCAUUAAUCACCAUGGUGAUGAGUGUUGGCCAGUCAAGAACUCCCAUAUUCAAAGAUUGAAGGUGGCGGAAAUGAGAAUGUUGCGUUGAAUGUGUGGACUAACUAGAGAGGAUAAAGUUAGGAAUGAGAUUAUCCGGGAGAAGGUGGGAGUGGCUUCGGUGGAGGGCAAGAUGCGAGAAGGAAGGUUGAGAUGGUUUGGACAUGUGAUGAGGAGGGGCACGGAUGCCCCUAUUCGGAGGUGUGAGAGGCUAGCUUUGGAUGGCUUCAAGAGGAGUAGAGGUAGGCCUAAGAAAUACUGGAGGGAGGUGAUUAGGCAUGACAUGGAACUGCUUCAGAUUACCGAGGACAUGACCCUAGACAGGAAGGUGUGAAGGUCACGGAUUAGGAUAGACGGCUAGGGUGAGUGUAAAGGUAAUCACUAGGUGAUAGGGGAGUUUGGGUGUGGUGGGUGUUUUAGGCCUGUGAGGGCAUGUUACUACCACAUGGGUAUUUAUGUUAUUUCAUAUUCCGUAUUAUUCGUAUUUCUCUUAUUUCCCAUUUCUCUGAGACUUAGUGUUCUUAUUUUUCUCUCUUAUUUUUGUUAUGCUAUACAGCGUGUUUCAUGUCUCAUUACGACCUUGGUAUACUAUUCUCUAUCUUGAGCCGAGGGUCUAUCGGAAACAGCCUCUCUACUUCCUCGGAGGUAGUGGUAUGAACUGCGUACAUUUUACCGGCCCCAGACCCACUUUGUGGGAAUAUAUUGGGUCUGUUGUUGUUGUUGGGUUACCCCAUUUUGUUAUUUAUUUUUAUUCUCUGCUUGGUAUACAGUUAUUAUCCCUGAGCCGGGGGUCUAUUGAAAACAACCUCCUUCAUCUGAGGUAGUGGUAUAUAUAUGUAUAGAUGUGUGUGUGUCAAAAUUGAUUAAAUUGCUAUUUUUCUUCAGAAAUUUAUCAAAGGGCGUAAGGUGAAGAUUAGUAUUUUUUAUAAAAUAUUAAAAAUCAUGGUAAAAUAACUAUCUCAAUUGUGCAAGUUUAAAAGCUCGUUGGUCCUAGUCUUUUCUUGACCCUCUGAAUAGCUGGAUUCUGCACCACAUGAUCCUUGUUCGAAGCACCUAACGUCACUCCCAGGUAUGUAGUCAGUAGAGUCCCAACCCUGCAAUUCAAUACUCGAGCAAGCGAUCUAAUGUCAUUCACCUCCCCAACAGGAAAAAUCUCACACUUCCUCAAAUUAAUUUUAAGACCUGACCCUGCAUGAAACCAAGUUAGAAUUUGUCCUAAAAAAUCCAUUUAGGUCUCAACUGCAACACAAAAAACCAAGGUAUCAUUCACAAACAUCAAGUGAGACGCCGAUGCUGUCCCCACCCCCCCAACUGCAGCAUCAGAACCCUUUAAGUAACGCCCCAAAACACCAUUACCAUCCUGCUCAAAGUAUCCAUAACUAGAAUAAACAACACCGGUGAUAGAGGAUCCCCUUCUCAAAUCCCUCGAGUUCCUGGAAAAACCAGCAAGGGUUACCAUUCACCAACACAGAGAAUCCCACUGAAGAGAUGCAACAAAAGAUCUAUUUGCUCCACUUCUCCCCAAAUCCCAUUUGAAGCAUAAUGGGAUCUAGGUAUUUCCAGUUUAUAUGAUCAGUUACCAAAAUUGGAUAUGUUGGCAUGAAGUGAAUUUAGUCCAUAUUUCUGCUGUUUGAUUGGUUACAAAAGAAAGUAAGAAGUACUUUAACAGUUGACUAGAUAGACAAUGUCACAUGGUUUUUACUUUUUAUGUUGCUAGUCUUUAUGAUUCAGCCUUGGUACAUCAUAGCAUGUUUCUAUCUCCCAUCUUCGUGGUUGGUGUUCAUCUCUUUCUUUUUCCUCUUUUAGGGGUGUGUGUCAUUUUCCGGAUGAUAGGAAUGUGGACAUAUUGUUACUAAUAGUAGAAAUUAGGAUGAAGUUACAGUAUUGUUGGGCUGUGAUAUGAUAUAUGAAUGAGUGUCGGGGCCGGGUCAUUGCUGAUCUAGAGAUAUUUGAAAAAGUUGUCGUCAGAAACUACACAUGCUAUAUAUUCAAAAUCUUCUUCUAUUUCUUCAAGUGGUCACACGUUAUCAUUGUAAAAACCAAUUAUCUGAUGCAUCUUGCUUCAUAAUAUUUUCUCAGGAACCUGAACCAGGUGAAGCUUUAAUCAACCCUAUGGUCAUUGUUCCCCAAACUGUGUUUCUGCUAUGAAUAACAAUUGAAAGUGGGUUUUCUUGUGUAUUGUAUGAUUUAUGUGUUUUCUCCUUCUGUGAAAAUACAAGUGCUGCAUAAGUACAAUUAACUGCAAUCCUCCAGACACCACUCCCAGUCGUCCAACAGAAAGUAACAACAACAACAACAAACCCAGUGUAUUCCCACAUAGUGAGGUUUGGGGAGGGUAAGAUGUAUGUAGUCCAUACCACUACUCCCGGGGAAGUAGCAAAGGCUGUUUCCGAUAGACUUCCCGGCUCAAGACAAGGAAUAGUAAUCAAAGUCAUACCAAAAAACCUAAAACAGGACAAAACAUAGAACAAAAAGUAAAAGAAAAGAAAAAGAAAGGGAGCUGUCAUAAAGAAAACAGGGAAAGGAACAUAUUUUAGAAUUUCAAAUGAAAGAAGAGAAAAAUGUUAGGAAGACAUGUGCUUUGGAAAUCAGAAGGGUUGUGUGAUUUGGAAUCACUUGCAUAG
rnacentral:lncRNA from 1 species